CGCCAAUGGAGAUUUGUCCGG
rnacentral:miRNA from 1 species